UAUAACAUAGCAUUAAUGCACCAGAUCCCAUUAGAAAUCUUCAAUUAAGUGUGCUCGGGCUAGAGUAGUAUUAGGGUGGAUGACCACCCAUGAAUUCCUAGUGUUUUAC
rnacentral:rRNA from 1 species